rnacentral:rRNA from 1 species
UACGGGGGGGGCAAGCGUUGUUCGGAAUUACUGGGCGUAAAGGGCUCGUAGGCGGCCAACUAAGUCGGAUGUGAAAUCCCCAGGCUUAACCUGGGAACUGCAUUCGAUACUGGCAAGCUAGAGUCCCGGAGAGGAUGGUGGAACUCUCGGUGUAGAGGUGAAAUUCGUAGAUAUCGAGAAGAACACCGGUGGCGAAGGCGGCCAUCUGGACGGUGACUGACGCUGAGACGCGAAAGCGUGGGGAGCAAACAGG